rnacentral:misc_RNA from 1 species
AGGAAUGCCCGGUAACAUGGACUACAGCAAAAUACUGAAUGACCCUGAAUUAAUGGCGGCAUUCAAGGAUCCAGAUGUCAUGGCUGCACUGCAAGAUGUGAUGAAGAACCCAGCUAAUUUGGCCAAGCAUCAAGGAAAUCCUAAGAUUGCUCCUAUUAUUGCAAAAAUGAUGGGCAAGUUUGCUGGAAAUAAUUGAGAGCUUUUGGGAUUUUGUCCGUAGGAAUUUCUAGAGUUUGAUAGAGAACAUGUUGUUUACCGUAAGCUUGUUUUUAUCGAGUAUAAAGUCAUUCUCCAAGAUUGUGUCUAAUCCAAGUUUAGUUUCAAACUACAGCUGUCUUCUUUUCUUAUAGAUUUGUUAUUGUUAUGUGUAUCAACUAUUUUUCCUUCUGGUGACUGAUGUUUUGGUAUGCAAAAACUGGUUUCUAU